rnacentral:piRNA from 1 species
GCUCUUUGUGCUCGCAGCAGGCUGG